rnacentral:rRNA from 1 species
GAUGAACGCUAGCGACAGGCCUAACGCAUGCAAGUCGAGGGGCAGCACAUGAGUAGCAAUACGAUGGUGGCGACCGGCGCACGGGUGAGUAACACGUAUGCAACCUGCCUGUAAGAGGGGAAUAACCCGGAGAAAUUCGGACUAAUACCGCAUAAUACCACGAGACUGCAUGGUUUUGUGGUUAAACAUUUAUGGCUUACAGAUGGGCAUGCGUAUGAUUAGAUAGUUGGUAGGGUAACGGCCUACCAAGUCUACGAUCAUUAGGGGUUCUGAGAGGAAGGUCCCCCACACUGGUACUGAGACACGGACCAGACUCCUACGGGAGGCAGCAGUGAGGAAUAUUGGUCAAUGGGCGAGAGCCUGAACCAGCCAAGUCGCGUGAAGGAAGAAGGUUCUAUGGAUUGUAAACUUCUUUUGCAGGGGAAUAAAGGACGGUACGUGUACUGUUUUGUAUGUACCUUGCGAAUAAGGAUCGGCUAACUCCGUGCCAGCAGCCGCGGUAA